AUUGAACGCUGGCGGCAGGCCUAACACAUGCAAGUCGAGCGUGAAAGUCCUUCGGGAUGAGUAAAGCGGCGGACGGGUGAGUAACGCGUAGGAAUCUACCUAAUAGUGGGGGAUAACGUUUCGAAAGGAACGCUAAUACCGCAUACGUUCUGAGGAAGAAAGCAGGGGAUCGCAAGACCUUGCGCUAUUAGAUGAGCCUGCGUCCGAUUAGCUAGUUGGUGGGUAAAGGCCUACCAAGGCGACGAUCGGUAACUGGUCUGAGAGGAUGAUCAGUCACACUGGAACUGAGACACGGUCCAGACUCCUACGGGAGGCAGCAGUGGGAAGUAUUGGACAAUGGGGGCGAACCCUGAUCCAGCCAUGCCGCGUGUGUGAAGAAGGCC
rnacentral:rRNA from 1 species